GACGAACGCUGGCGGCGUGCUUAACACAUGCAAGUCGAACGGAAAGGCCUGCUUUCCCUUGUGGAUUGCGGGUACUCGAGUGGCGAACGGGUGAGUAACACGUGAGUGAUCUGCCCCCAACUUGGGUAUAAGCCUGGGAAACUGGGUCUAAUUCCCGAUAGGACUGCAGGGUGGUGCCUGUGGUGGAAAACGAUUUUCUAGUGGUUGGGGAUGAGCUCGCGGCCUAUCAGCUUGUUGGUGGGGUAAUGGCCUACCAAGGCGGCGACGGGUAGCCGGCGUGAGAGGGUGGACGGCGACAUUGAGACUGGGAUACGGCCCAGACUCCUACGGGAGGCAGCAGUGGGGAAUAAUGCAGAAUGAGCGGGAGCCUGAUGCAGCGACGGCGCGUGGAGGAUGACGGCCUUCGAGUUGUAAACUCCUUUCGACCGCGAGGAAGCCACCUGGUUGGAAGGGUGGUGACGGUAGUGGUAGAAGAAGCACCGGCUAACUACGUG
rnacentral:rRNA from 1 species